rnacentral:sRNA from 1 species
UGUAUCUGAGGCCUGACGAGGAUGAGAACCUCCGGGGGCAAGAGGUUCGACCCGAGCGAAGCGAGAGAACGUUGCGUCAGCAACGGCCCGCAGGGCGAGCCACGUAGUAGAGAGUCAUCCUCUAUCACCGACCA